rnacentral:tRNA from 2 species
GGUUCUAUAGUUUAUUUAUAUAAAAUAUUAAAUUGCAAAUUUAAAGAAAGAAAAAUUUUUAGAACUU